CACACGAAGUGUUUUUUUUUUUUUGCUCUUGCUUCCAAUUUUCAUGUCUCAUAUGCCCCAACCGCAUAGCUAGUCAGCUAAAAAUUAACACCAUGAAUCCUUUUAUCAAAUACUCAUCCCUAGCUCAUUCUCCAGCGUUGGAGUUGGAGACGACAAAGCAUGCAGCAAAUUAUACGAAGACAAAAAAGAGUUAAUACCAGUGUAACAUAUAUGAUAUAUAUAUUCUUUAAGCUAAAAAAGCACUACCAUAUCUUCCUCGAUAUAACAACAAAAUCCUAGAGAUUUGAAUGCCUUACAAGAAAGACACCAAAUUAGGCAAAGAAUGAAACAAGCUAAGAAAAUAAAACAGACAGAAAGACUCUAAGGCAGUCAUUUUUGGACUCUUUUUCAUUCGCACAUUCCCCUCCUGCUGGCUGCUGUUGCAGUGUUGCUUGUCAAGUCAAAGAAAUUUUUCAAGACCACCUUAUAACAGAAAGAAGCAGGAGAAAAAAAACUUUCCAUCAAAGGCGUAUUCGGAUUAGAUUACACCAAGGGAUUGGUUGUGGUCGACGAUCCAUAGCCGUUCAUCAUGCCAGUCCAUGAUCCCAAAUUGUUUAGGUACCCAAAUGUGUCCUUCCCACCCUGAUCUUGCCAUUCGAGGGACAAAAGCUUGGUGUUGGGCUUCACAUCAAUUGUAUUUUGCUCAUCAUUUCCUUGAUGACCAUAUGGAGGCAUCAACCUUUGGUAGGUUUCCAUGAUAGUGCCAUUAUUCCCAUCAAGGGACAUCCCAAAUGGAGAGCAAAGACCAUGGAAAUUUGGAGGUAACCCAUGAUUACUCAUCUCUCCAAGCCCACUAACCAUACCUAUCUCACUAUUCCCCAUAAAAUCGUAAUUCCUGGAGCUGCCCACUAUAGCUUCUAACUUACUCUCCAUAAAAUCCAGAGGCCUAGGGUUUUCAAGCAUACCAAUGUUAUAUUUGCUAUCCAUGAAAGUAGGGUUUGCAAGUGUGCCUUGAUGAGUGCCAAGUAUGUUAUUAAGGUGUGAAAGUUGGACCUCAGGAAAUGAAAGGUGAAGAUCUGUAGGACUGUGGGAAGAAGAUGAUGAUAAUCCAGGGUUCUGAUUAAUGGGUUGAUCAUUAGAUUUUUUAGACACUUUCUUAUUCUUUCUACAGCCACCACCCACAGGAAUGUUCCUUAAAGUGCCUCCUUUGGUCCAGUACCUUCUGCAAGUCUUGCAGAAGUACCUUGGCUGAGAGAGGCUGUAGUUGUUGUAGUAACAAAAUUUUGUGUGAGUGGAGUCACACCUUGGGCACUUGAGAGCUUGGUCGUGCUGAGGCCUGAGCCUCCUCUCUAUCAAGGGCCUUGAGCAUGUGAGCAUAUCCCCGGAAGGUGAAGAAGAAUCCAAUCCGGACUCCUCGUGAAUUGUGUCCUGACACAAGGAAAAUGAUGGGAAAUUUGUCCGAAUUCUUGUCAGUAAUUUCAAUAAUCUGAGUCAAGAAAUUAAAAUAAAAAAUAAACAAAAAUUAAAUAAACAAAAAUUCUUUGUCCUAGCAGCGAAGAUAUCAGUAAUAAUUAAUCCAAAAAGCCAGAUAUUAUUCCUCCGUGCUUUCACAUAUAUCAACUAUAGAAUGUCUAAAAUACCAGAGAUUCCCAGAAGCCAACAAUUAACCUUUAAAAACUGAUGUACAUCUGGUUUCCAAAAUCGAGUUUAUAAAGCUUCAUGUCUGUCUUUAUAAACUAGUCUCCUUCACAGCCAUUUCGCGACUUCAGUUAAUCCGUUAAGAGUUACAUUAGAGAUUACACUCAAAAACAAAAUAUAUAGGACUAGCUAGAUUUCCCUUUUAUAGGUGUCCACUCUAAAACACCAUCUAUAUUCCAUGCCAUUUUAAGCCUUUACUUCCAUUUGGCUCAUCAAGCACAGCCAAGAAAACAAAUCAAAUUGCGCUAUUCAUGAACCAUAUUUGGCAUUUGAGCUUGCAAAACCACAGUUAAUCUAAAAUGAAGAUAGCCAGAGAGUAUAAAACUAUAUAGAAAUGCAGAUCUUACCUGCAGCCAAUCAGUCGAAUCCAUACAAACUUGCAGUGAAUUAAGACCCAUGAAGCCAAGCAAGGAACUAAAAAUGGGUGAUAUCUAGCUAGAGAUAGAUAGCAACCAAUUCACCAAGACUUGCCUCUAUUUCAUAUUGGGUGCCAUGCAAGAACUGAAAGGGAGAGAUGGAGAAAAAAAAAGACAAUAAGUGAAUUGCGACAGAAUGUUAGAGAGAAUGAGAGGGGAUUGAUUGACAUGUAGGGGGCGGAGGCAGGGGUUUGGGCUGUGAAUAAGAAGGAAGAAAAAGGUGGUAGCAACCAGUAGCUAUACUCCUACUCUGCAGCUACGGUCCAUACACAGUCGGCGGGCUUAACAUUCUUGGCCCCCUAUGUCCGUGCAUUGCUAAGACAAAGGGCCCACCAACACACCUCGUCUUAGACUAAAUCUCCGGUAGCGAUAUCGACGGCCCAGAUGUCAUUGUGGCAGCUGGAUUG
rnacentral:misc_RNA from 1 species